rnacentral:rRNA from 1 species
UGCCUAAUACAUGCAAGUCGAGCGGACAGAUGGGAGCUUGCUCCCUGAUGUUAGCGGCGGACGGGUGAGUAACACGUGGGUAACCUGCCUGUAAGACUGGGAUAACUCCGGGAAACCGGGGCUAAUACCGGAUGGUUGUCUGAACCGCAUGGUUCAGACAUAAAAGGUGGCUUCGGCUACCACUUACAGAUGGACCCGCGGCGCAUUAGCUAGUUGGUGAGGUAACGGCUCACCAAGGCGACGAUGCGUAGCCGACCUGAGAGGGUGAUCGGCCACACUGGGACUGAGACACGGCCCAG